rnacentral:tRNA from 1 species
GCCCGCGUAGCUCAGCUGGAUAGAGCAGGGCUUUCCUAAAGCUCAGGUCGUAGGUUCGAAUCCUGCCGCGGGUG